GGCUCGUCUUGUCAAUUUCAGGCGUCCCACCCCUAGCUGUUCAACGCUUAAGUGUUUGUUUACUUUGUGAAGCCGAAGCACAGCGCUUAUAAAUCAACCCAGGACGUCCACGGCGCCAGGCGAUGCCAACUAUAUGAGCUGGGCAAUGCUAACCACGUGGUGAGAAUUGCCCAGAGCCGAAAAUGAACAAGAAUACAUGGUAAAUGCGUUAAUUUCAAGAAUAAGGGUGAAACAUAUACAACCCUGGAAUGUUCUGGUACUACUCCCACAUACAAGGAAGAAAGAUUAAAAAGAUUGAAAGAUUUACGGCCCAUUCCUCAGCAACACAGUCCAUCCAGUCCCAGUAAAUGUUUCCUCUUAUUGUGAUAUGAAACGUGAUGUAAGGAAGGGGUUAACUGAGCCCGUUUAUUCUGUAACUUUAUUUAAUGUCAGUCUCCAUGGAUUCUAAUUAUCCCAAUGGAAGCUUUCCAUUUAUAAUGAUAAAUGGGCUCCGUUCAAUGUGUUGUCCCAAAGUAUGAACAGGAGCAUCACCAACAGCAGGGAUCAGCAGCUCCAGAGAGAUGGGGCCGAGAGAUUCGAAUCUGAGAACGUUACACUGGAAUGUUCCAACAACGGACAAGAGUUUUUCCUAUGAUGUUUGGUAUCUUUCUACAUAUUAUGAUCAAUUUUCUUUGACAAAGCGGUUGAAACUUGCGUUUUACAUUAUUGAAUAUUUUUAUUAUCCUAUCCUGGCUAUUGUUAGUGUCCCUGGUAAGUCUCACAGUCCAGUUACUCUUUGAAUAAACUAUGCUUAACGGUUGUUACCAGUCUUUUCAUUGGCUCUACAGUAAUUGCUGCCAUUAAGGUUCCUGCUGAGACUCUGAAUCCAGAUAUUCACUCUACAAAUAGCUACUAACUGCAUCACUUAACGUGUUCAUUCACUCGUUCCCUCUUUGAUUCUGUCAGUGUCUCUCGUGGGUCUCUAUGUUGACCAACUCCAUUUCAGCUGUGAACCAUGAUCAAUUGUAUCACUGCCUUUGUUGUUUAAAUAUUGGGAGGCCACUGUCUUUUGUUCUCGUUGCAAACUUCAUUUCUUCCUUCUGACUCCAUCCCAGUCCUGGUCAAUAACUGAGGUGAUCCUUUGACCAUGAGCUGAUUCCUGACACCAUACCCUGACUGUUCCUGACACCUCCAGAAUAUACAUCACUGGCUCAGUCCAUUUGCUAUUUGAACCUUGAGCUAUGAAAUACAGUUUUAAUGAUGCCAGUCAUCUGCUGCUGAUUCCCAAUGUCAAAACUGCAGAAGUAAAUCUGAGGCAAUACUCCAUGGCUCAUUGGAAUUCACACCAAAAUCCCAUCUGCCCGUCAUUCCUGUGCACACUGAUCUAUAUUGUUCUUGGGUAAGGCAAUGUCUUAAUUUUAAUAUUCUCAAGCACAUUCUCACAUCUGUCGAUGAAAUAUUCCUCAAUCUCUCUCUUUCUGUCCAUUACCCAAACAAUUACCGGUUGAUUUCAUUUGCUUAUUGUUAUCACAGGGCCCUGAGUAUAGUGGAAAGCUCUGUUAUACAAGUAGUACAGUUGGAUUUUUUUUUCUUCAUUCAUGGAAUGAGGGCAUUGCCAGCUGAGCCAGCAAUAAUUAUCCAUCCGUAAUUUGCCCACCGGGCAGUUAGGAGUCAAUCACAUUUCUGUGGGUCUGGAGUCACGCAUAGGUCAGACCAGAUAUGGAUGGC